AGUCUAUCAACCGCACCCGUUUCUUUUCGUUCCGGGUCGUAGGUUGGACGUGGGGGCAUGCUGCCGUGAGGCCGCUCUCCCCAAAUGCGUCGGUUGGACCUCUGGGUCGGACUCGGUCGGGCGUCGUACCAUCCUCGCUCUAAUCCCGGGUCGUUCCCCGUCCUCCCAAGACUUGGCCUGUGGAGUGGCGAGUCAAAGCUAAUCUUUCAAAU
rnacentral:misc_RNA from 1 species